UGAAAUUUUGCUCAUUAUUUUCUUCCUCUUGAGAAAAUGUCUUAUUAAAUUAAAUUGAUUCAGUCAAGAUAAUGGGAUGCUGGGUUUUACGGUUUCUGGUGAGUCCUUGAAGGUAGCACGUCAUUAGGAUAAGCCACGCCCCCUCCUGUGUGUCACACGCUGCCCACGCCGCUGCCUCUGUUACAACCAUUGAGAAGACCUGACCCAGCAGCAUCCAUAAACACAGAGAGGAUCAGCCUCCAUUCAUCCACCAUGGUCAGAAUAAUAGAACUACACAGAUUCAAUACAUGUGGAGGCUUCAUCAUCUUCAUCCUCAUCCUCAUCAUCUUCAUCAUCUUCAGCCUUUAUUCUUCAGUGGUUUUUAGUUUAUGUAACAUUUUGAUCAUCACACAGAGAAGCUGAGAGUCAGAUGUUCACCUGCUUUAGUUUUUAAAGAGCCGUGGAGUGGAGUGAAACCACGCUUCGUGCUUUUGUUUACCUUACUCUGUAUCUGUGCCGCCCCACUCCUUCUCUCCGAGUGGACUCUGCUGAGGAUGAGUGGGAUGCUGCCACAUUUUCUCCUAUUUCAUUAGAACCACGGUGGGCCGGGAAUCCCACUCAUCUGAGCCCGUCGUCACGAUCAUCUGAAGGAGAGUCUCUGAGCAGAGCGGACCGAGAUAAAACAGAUGAGAUGUUUCAGAGCGAGUUUACUUCGACUGUCACGUCUGAUUAAAACAGAUGGAGAGGAGCCUGAACUGCAGACAGUUCAUGAGAAUCAAUCAGGUUUGUACAAACAGCAGUGUUCCCCCUGUCAGCCGGACUAUUGAUUAACUCCUCGGAGGGAAUUCAAUCCUUACAAUUACUCUCCAUCAUUGAAUGUACAGACCCCCCCCCCCCCCCAUCCAUCUAAAGGUUUAAUUAAACACAAAUGAAUUAAGAUAAUGACUGAUAAUCAUAGUCAUUCUGAGACAUAAGCUAUCGAGCACAGACUCUGGAAAAACAAACGGUUUAAUUCAAACAUUCAGGAUUUAAACAAUAAUAAUAAUAAUAAUGAAACACCGUCUGGAUUACGACCAUUUUCCUGUUUCUGCUCUUUUUGAGUGUUUAUCCUUCACCGAUGGGUGAGCGUCAGUGUUGGCCAAAUAAACUCAUAAAGAAGAAUAGUCAAUCAGAAAUAUUUGCUCUUACCUCCUGCCAGUGUGGCUGGAUUUCUGGGCACUUCUGAAAGAUGUGAAAACGUUCUGCCAGCUGUUUUAUUCUCUAAAGUCUUUUUGUCAUUUUUUCCAGUGGCUAAUCUUGAAAAUCAUAAAUAUAAAAGGAGCAUUCACAAAUGUAAGUAACCUUUUCAGGGCUAACAGAGUCCGAUCCACCAAAGAGGACCCGGGUCGGUCCUCCCUGACCCGGUCAGAGAGAACAGGAAGCUGCAGGAUCCUAAUGGACAGAGUCAAAGUGAUGAACAUGAAUGAUGUGUGUGGAGGAAGUGAGUGAACAGCAUCACAGUGUUCUCAGCCUUUCACUCAUUUAUUUCUCUGAUUUAUUUUUAAUUAUAAAUAAUAUUGAAGAGGAGACAGAGACAUAUUUCUAUACAAGGACAAUCAAGAGGGUUGGAUUGUAUCAUAUCGCAUCAUUUCUAAAGGUAUGAUAAAAUGACAGAGAUGUGCUUUUUUUGAUUUAUUUGUAAUUAUUAUUAAUUCUGCAGAGAACGUUAUCAUAUACAGGAACAGUUAAGAGUGUUGCCUCAUAUUCCAUGGUAUUGUAUAUAUCAUAUCUUGUCCUAUCGUAGUAUACUGCAUAUAUAAUUUCAAAUAGUAUCUUAUCAUAUAUCAUAUAAUAUCAUAUCAUGUGAUAAUUCACCAUAUCAUAUCCUUUUGUAUCAUACAUUAUCAUGUCAUUUUAUAUCAUAUUGCACUGUACCAUUAAGUAUCAUACCAUGGAACUGUAUCAUGCUGUAUCAUACUAUAUUGUAUCAUAUUGUAUCAGCAUGUAUCAUAUCAUACCAUAUCAUAUUAUAUCAAAUCAUAUCAUGUUAUAUCAUUUCUCAUAUCGUAUCAUGUUAUUUUAUAUCUCAUAUUACAUCAUAUCAUUUUAGAUCAUAUAGCUUAUCAUAUCAUAUAUCGUAUCAUGUUAUAUCAUGUCUCAUAUCAUAGCUCAUAUUACAUUAUAUCAUAUAUUAUAUCAUAUCUCAUAUCAUAUCCUAUCACAUCAUAUCACGUUUAGUUGUGUUGUGAUGUAUCAUAGAGUAUCAUAGUGUUGUAUCAGAUAAUAUCAUGAUAUUGUGUCUCGCUGUAUGAUAUUGUAUCCUGUCAGUCUCUGGUGUUUGUGAAGUUGGUAUGAAGUUUGUAUUUUGUUGAACCAUAUUGUACUGUAUUAUAUCUUAUAACGUCAUACAGUAUCAGCACGUAUAAUUUCAUAUCAUAUCAUAUAAUACUAUAUCAUGUUAUAUCAUAUCUCAUAUCAUAUCAUCUCUUAUAUUGUAUCCUAUCAUAUUGAGUUGUGUUUUGCUGUAUGAUAUUGUUUCCUGUUAGUCUCUGGGGUUUGUGAAGUUGGUCCUCCUAUAUUGUUUAGUAUCAUAUCAAACAGGAUCACAGUGGAUUACAUCAUCCUGUAUGAUAAUAUACUGCUCUGUUGUGUAAUGUUGCAUCAUAUUGCCCCAUAUUACCAGUUUGGCAUCAUCAGACCAGAUCCACUCCAGUCAUGUGAUGGGACUGUCUUACAACCAAUCAGAGCGCAGCAAAAUAUUUUGUUUUGUUUUUUGUGUUUGUCAAUAUUUUGUGUGAUUGUCAUAUUGGCUGAAAUGACCACACUGAUCAUGAUCCAGUCCUUCCUGAGAGUAUAUUCAGCUCACAGAGGAGGUGUAGUCAGGUAGGCAGGACACCGACACGCACACACACCCACACCCACACCCACAGUCCAUUCAGCUUCAUUGAUCCCCCUUAUAUUCUUCCUACUCACCACCGUCCUCUCUGCCUCAGAUCCACGUCUGUGAUUCAUCAGCAGCGCUCUGACAUUCAGGUUCUCGUCUGUGCGUCGCCCACACUCCCACGCAGCGCCGAUGAGCUUGUAAUGCACAUUCAGGAGCAGAGUGGAGCCCGUCCAGUCAAAAAGAGGUCAUCACUGCGAGGCUGAUUUCACAAACCUGACAAAGGCGUCAAUUCAGACUAUUUCUGUCUCACAAAAGGCCCGAACAAUGGAGAGGCGGCUCCCAGAAUCUGUUAACGGAGAGAGAGAGACAGUUGAAAACGCUGCUGGCAUUUGUACAUCGCUCUCAUACGAAGAAAAAAGAACAAGAUCAGAGGGUGUGAGUGGUUAUUAUCACCACAGAGGAGAGAAGUGAAAAAUUAAACAGAGAGGAGGUUGACUGAGUUCUCCUACCUGUUAGGAUUUUAUCAUAUUUCUCUCUAUGAUAAAAAUAACAUGUGGAUGUUCAGAGCGCCCACACUUUUGCGUGUCUUUGUCAUUUUGCUCGAACUGUUCACAGACUCUUCAGCUCCAAAUCUCCAAAUCCAACCUUCAGAUUUCAUGAGAGACGGAUCAGAGUUUGAGUUCAUGAGUGUUGGAGAGAUAAGAGUCCAGAAACAUGUACGUCAGGUCCACCCUCAUCAGGCUGGAGAGAGAUUUUCUCAAUGAUUAUCAGAUUAUCCCAAAAAUGAUGCUGAGAAACAAGAUACAUCAUGACAGAGUGAAACCAUACGAAGGGAAAUGAUAUGAUUCAGUACUACAUAUGAGAGGACGCUGUGAGGGGGUUAAAACAUUAUGAUAUGAUUCUGUAUAAUUCAGUAUGAUG
rnacentral:lncRNA from 1 species